rnacentral:rRNA from 1 species
AUUGAACGCUGGCGGCAGGCCUAACACAUGCAAGUCGAACGAGUGGCGGACGGGUUAGUAAUGUCUCGGAAACUGCAUGAUGGAGGGGGAUCACUACUGGAAACGGUAGCUAAUUCCGCAUUCCAUCAGAUGUGCCCAGAUGGGAUUAGCUAGUUGGUGGGGUAACGGCUCACCAAGUCGACGAUCCCUAGCUGGUCGGAGAGGAUGACCAGCCACACUGGAACGGAGACACGGUCCAGACUCACACGGGAGGCAGCAGUGGGGAAUAUUGCACAAUGGGCGCAAGCCUGAUGCAGCAAUGCCGCGUGUAUGAAGAAGGUCUUCGGGUUGUAAAGUACUUUCAGCGGGGAGGCGUUACCCGCAGAAGAAGCACCGGCUAACUCCGUGCCAGCAGCCGCGGUAAUAC